rnacentral:lncRNA from 1 species
UGCCCAAGGGCUUGCCUGCAGCCCAACCUUGUGGAGUUAUUAUUUUCCCAAUUAAGGUUCUUCCUCUCCCACUCUAGCUCGUUGAUAUGAACCAGUCAGCACACUGAGCUAGCUACUUCUCCUAGCCUGAAGGCUUUCUUAAUGUUGGCAAUUACAUUUUUAUUUUUAGGGGUGUGUGUGUUGGGGGGGGGGGGAGGCACGACACAGUCUUGCAUCCUAGAUGGUCUGGAACUUUCCAUCCUCCUGAGUGUGAAGCUCACACCUAUUAUAAAAUGAAUAAAGUGGCAUAGUUGGUUUUGUUUAAAAUAAUAGUUCACUGACGAUUCCCGUCUACAUCAAAAUUUUCAGAUAUUUGUGUGCCAGAGCCAGUGGAAGGGGAUGUACUCAGUAUGGGAGAGGGUAACAGGGUUGGGGGAAGAGCAGAGGUCUUUCCUGACCCUGAGUACACUAUGACCUACUGCUUAUUUGGGCAGAGUGAUCAUACUUCCAUAGAUCACUCACCUGGUCUCAGCUGCUGCUGUUUGAGGACAGCUGAGCUCUUGGGUAACUGUGAGCUAAGCAGACAGUCCUUAGAUAUGCUAGGGAGGAAACAGGGGAGCCUGGGCUAGGGCAGGGGCAAACCCUUGUCUGAAUUCUAGCAGUUUAUUCCAAGACUAGGACCAAGGUAGGACUAUACUCUAUCAGAAUCGUACACAGGCCACAGGGAAGGACUGCCUUCAAAUCUUGUCUAGUCACAAGCAGAGAAACCCUGCUUUACAAUUUGAAGGGCAUGGAAUGGCUAAAUACGCAAUAAAUUCUUCUAAAUGCAAGUUACUGGGGCAAUACUGUUGGGGGGGGGGUGUUGCUUUAAAGCACUUGCCUAAAGUUUUACUUCAUAUGUAAAUAUAUUGAUAACCUAAAUGUCAACGCUUGAGAGGUGUGAUGGGUGAUAUUCAAGUUUUCAGCUGGCUCUUUUUUCUAUUAGCUUUAUCUUCAAGCCAGGAUGAAGGGAGAUUGGGCAAGACUCUUACGACCCAUGCUACAGUUUGGGCUUGUUGCUUUAUCCAUAUAUGUGGGCCUGUCUCGAGUUUCUGAUUACAAACACCACUGGAGCGACGUGUUAAUUGGCCUCAUUCAAGGAGCUGUUGUGGCAAUAUUAGUGGUAAGUAUCAGGCAGCAGCCCGAGUGCUGGCACUGCUAGUCACUGGGGUAAAUCCCCAGUGAGACACCCAACAGGACAGAAUGUGCCUCACUAAUUCUGAGUAAGGAUGUCAAUAAAAGGAUAGGUCUGACAGGUAAAAACUGGGUGAUUCUUGGUCAGUAUUGUAAAAUUCUUAGUGUUUUUAUUGUUAAGGCCUAUGGUUGUAGUAAACAAUCUCCUUUUUCAUGAAUUGAAAAUUCACUUAAUAAAUUAUUUUUCAGUACUGGUUAAAUGAAGGUAUUACCAAAACAUUUUGAAGAAUUUUCUACAAAAC